rnacentral:rRNA from 1 species
AUGGGAACGCGAAGAACCUUACCUAGACUUGACAUCUCCUGAAUAGUGUAGAGAUACAUGAAGCCCUUCGGGGCAGGAAGACAGGUGGUGCAUGGUUGUCGUCAGCUCGUGUCGUGAGAUGUUGGGUUAAGUCCCGCAACGAGCGCAACCCUUAUUACUAGUUGCUACCAUUAAGUUGAGCACUCUAGUGAGACUGCCCGGGUUAACCGGGAGGAAGGCGGGGAUGACGUCAAAUCAUCAUGCCCCUUAUGUCUAGGGCAACACACGUGCUACAAUGGUGAGUACAGAUAGAUGCGAUACCGCAAGGUGGAGCCAAACUCUAAAACUCAUCCCAGUUCGGAUUGUAGGCUGCAACUCGCCUACAUGAAGUUGGAGUUGCUAGUAAUCGCGAAUCAGAAUGCUACGGUGAAUACGUUCCCGGGUCUUGUACACACCG